CUUGCUAUUGUCUGAAUACGGAAGUUUGACCAUGAGCUUCUGAAGCUGCUCCUGCUGUUGUUCCUCUCUGAAGAAAGAUUGAGCUUCACCCCAGACUGCAACUUUCUUCUUCUGUCCAACAUCUGACGGAUUCCAGCAUCUGUCGCAAUGCGCUCCGAAAUGUUGGCUACCUCUUUGCAGAUCCUUCGAGACUCGACCUUACUCAACAAUCCACCGUGCGGUACAGUCAAUAAAGUUCCACAUUGCAUCUCUUUCAGCACACAGGGGCUGCACGGUGGCUCAGUGCUGCCUCACAGCACCAGGGACAGGGAUUUGAAUCCAGCUUCAGUGCAUUUGAAGAUCUGUAGACUCAAGUUUCAAAAUCAACAGAUGAAGGGCUUAUGCCCGAAACAGCAACUCUCCUGCUCCUUGGAUGCUGCCUGACCUGCUGUGUAUUUCCAGCACCACACAUUUUGACUGACACUCCAGCGUCUGCAGUCCUCAUUUUCAUGUCAAUGACAGACAGUCAAUCAAUCCAUUGGGACUGUAACGAUUUUUGACUACGAUUCUGUGAGAAGGAGCAAAAUUCUUUGGUACAUUUUCAGCAUCAGUGGAGCUGGAUGAGAGACGCUACUGUGGCAGCGCAUUGAGUGUGGAGCCUGUAACAAUUAUACGGCCUGGAAAGAGGAAUUCACGGCAGGGAGGGGCUGUACAUGCAUUUGUGAACAGCUGAAGCUUUGGCCAUGGAGAAACCAGAGGAAUCUCGCCCCAUGGAGAAACCGUGGAAGUGUUGCGACUGCAGGAAAGGCUUCAUUGUCCCGUCUACCAUGGAAAUUCAUCAGCGCAGUCACACCAGGGAGAGGCUGUUCUCCUGCCCAGAGUGUGGGAAAGGCUUUAUCCGCUCUUCCCACCUACUGGACCACUGCGGGUCCACACUGGGGAGAGAUCAUUCACCUGCCCCGAGUGCGGGAACAGCUUCACCCACUCCUCCCACUUGCUGGCGCACCAGCGUGUCCACACCGGGGAGAGGCCCUUCCCCUGCUCUGAUUGUGGGAAGGCCUUCAGCAAAUCCUCCGACCCGCUGAA